rfam:Schistosoma mattheei strain Denwood, Zambia genome assembly, scaffold: SMTD_scaffold0000600
AUCCAGCUGACGAGUCUCAAAUACAACGAAGUACGUGUCCUGUAU